rnacentral:rRNA from 1 species
UACAGAGGGUGCAAGCGUUGUUCGGAAUUAUUGGGCGUAAAGAGCUCGUAGGCGGUUUGUCGCGUCUGCUGUGAAAACCUAAGGCUCAACCUUGGGCUUGCAGUGGGUACGGGCAGACUAGAGUGCGGUAGGGGUGACUGGAAUUCCUGGUGUAGCGGUGGAAUGCGCAGAUAUCAGGAGGAACACCGAUGGCGAAGGCAGGUCUCUGGGCAUUAACUGACGCUGAG